rnacentral:rRNA from 1 species
UACAGAGGGUGCGAGCGUUAAUCGGAGUUACUGGGCGUAAAGGGCGCGUAGGCGGUUAGAUAAGUGAGAUGUGAAACCCCCGGGCUUAACCUGGGAAUGGCAUCUUAAACUGUUUAGCUAGAGUACUGUAGAGGGUAGUGGAAUUUCCGGUGUAGCAGUGAAAUGCGUAGAGAUCGGAAGGAACACCCGUGGCGAAGGCGGCUACCUGGACAGAUACUGACGCUGAGGCGCGAGAGCGUGGGGAGCAAACAGG